UUUGCUGAACUUCUGUGGGAAAAUUCAAACUUUUAAAACUAAACAAAGCAUUGCUUAUCUAGCAUACCCAGGGGAGAACAUCUGCACGACACAGGAUGUUUGCUCAACUACAUCCUGCACUCUGUCUCCCUUGUUAGUUCCUUUUAGCUACAAUGUGGUUCCUGUUUACUAAGGUCACAUUUAGU